UAAUUUUCGAAAAUUAGUAAUAUUAAAAUGUAAAACUAUAUUUUAUGUCACGUGUCAUCUUUCGGGAGAAGUUUUUUUCGCUGAUGUGGACGCUCUAUGGAGCCUCAAAAGGUUCAUUUUAUUAGUAUAGAUUUGGUUUGAAAAAUAUAAUUGGAUUUGUUUGUGUUUCAUAACUCAGGUUCACAUGGGCCUGCAAAAUUAAUAAAACCGAAGCACAUUAGACGUCUUUCUAAGCUGUAUCCGCCGUUAGGGGGUUCAUCAUUCUGCAAAUCGACUUAAGAUGUAGCACCUAUAGAGUUCAUGAUAUCCUCAGAGAGACGAGUCUUCGUUGAUGGUCGAUGCAUCUGUAUCUGUUAGCGUCGGUUCGUAUUUGAUUCUUCCUCUCACAGAUGUUACAAGUUCAUUGAUUCAAUAUCAGUUACGAAUCUCGCAUUCAAUGUCUAUUUGCCCUCUUACCAUCUAUAGAAAGGUAAGGCCUCACCCAUGAAAAUCAUUUUCACAGUUCCAAUAGUGUUGGAUAUUUGUUUCUCAGUAUAAUGGCUAAGCAGUCUGUUCUACUUGCUGAUUUGAAGGAAUGUCGGUGUUCUUUCACCGUCGAGAUGAUGCGGUUGCUCAGAUGCUGAGAAGCCAUAUUGUUAAACGCGGUGGGGAGUUGAUGGCAGUUUACAUGAUCUUCAUUCCGACGGUCUAGUGCGGUUGCUCAGAUUCUCGAUGUCUUUGACCAUAUUUCUUAUCACCUGGUUUUAACUGAACGGAGAUAAAGACAUCGAGGGUUCACUUCUUGAGAUUCGUUAACGACGGGUUGAUUAGCAAUAACGGUAUCGUCCAAAUCUAACGCUUUUGGCGACGAAGAAACCGAUGAGAAGAGGAUAGCUCCUAAGUCUACUCGCGAAUGAAGUGACUUUAUGGGUUUGUCUUCGAUUUGCAGAGAUGGUCGAGUGAUCUGGUGGUUUUCCAAGGAGAAGGGAAAGGAGGGUUUUAGGUGUGGGAGAUGAGAUUAUGAUGUUGGAUCUGAAGAAAAUUGAUUAACGUAGAGAGCUUUGAACCUGUGGCGUCUUUGUGAGAGAGAGGGAGAGGUAUCAAUGAGAAACAUGGAAUGAGAAAUGCAUCAUUAGAAAUGCAACAUUCAAUAAAAUAAGGAUGUUGGAAAAGCUGUAGUAGGGAGAUAUUCAAAAGUACUUUAGUUUCUGGCUUCUAAUGUAUUUGCUUGGAUUGAUCGUGUUCCCUGCGUACACAAAAACAUGAAAGCAGAAGAUUCCAAGAGUUGAACAAGUCUGAGUGCAGCUGCAAGAUGAGAUGAAGAGACAUGAAGGUCUAACAACAGCAUAUGAGGUGGAGAAUAAUACCAAAACUGAUGAGAGGUAAGAACUGAGAGUAAUCACUGAUGAGAGGUAAGAACUGAGAGUAAUCUUGGGAAAACAAAAGAAAAUAAUAUAAGUUUAGAAAUAGAGGUCAAAACGUUGAAAGAAAGGAAAAAUGUUACGAGGGUGACAUGGGGACAUAGAAUUUUCAGAGGGCUUUUGUUUGUGUAUGUUUAUGCAUCAUGUAAUACAAAACUUUUGUGGGUAUGUGUCUCUGAGAUGUGAUUAGUGUAUGCUCUUUUCUGAUCUAAUAUAAUAAAACAGAUAACGUUCAA